UCUGCUUUAGAAGCAUGACUGCACCCUGAUUUAACCCGGGAUAAAGUGCACGUGGACACCAGGGAGAUGGAAACCCUACUGUGGCAUGUAGGAAUUCGAAAUGUUCUAAUUAAUCUUGUAAACCCAGCAGAGCAGCAAGUGGCGAGGCCUAGCGUUAUUGCAGCCAGGAAUGGGGACAGACUGGGACUGCACAGCUCCUUGUGUUCCACGUUCCCAGCAACUCCUGAGUGCUUGCCAGUGGGGGGGACACUGCCUGCAAAGGCUCGGUUUGUCAUUUUGCGCCAAGCGGGGAGAGAGAAGGUGCUGUACACAGAAUGGACUUUACCAGCUGUUAAAGGUGAUAGCCUCCUCUGGGCCCCCCAUGUCUGCUCUGCUGAUGCCAUCUGACAGUUCCGCUUCCCAUCAGAAGCACAAGUCAGAGGGGAAGGGGGAGAAGAAGUGGACUUGCUCCACAAACGCCACCUGGGAUGGCUGGUGCUUCCCCAAAGCCCCGGGACUCAGUUGCACAAAGGCUGCAGAGUCUCUGUAAGUGCUCAGCCUCAAAACCCUGGGAAAGGAGGGGGGGAGAACCAGCUGUUUUUAAAAAAUGCAUAUAACCCUGGAGGACUCGCAAGUCCUGGGGAGCGUUUUCUUUUAAUGAUCAUUUCCGAGUCCCGCUGCUCGUACUAGGAGGGGCCCUUCAGGGAAGGACACUCUCUCCUGUCCUUUCAUGCACAAAUGAAUCGAUUAGGAAACUUUGCAAGGAUGUAAUGUGACCACGAACAAAGCGUUGGGAGAAAACAGCUUUCGUUUUCCUUUCUUUUACGCCUGACAAUGGAAUAUGCAGCGAGAGCUCUCGCUGAACUAAGGGCAUGGGCCGGCAUUAAAAGGCAAUUAAAAACCGAUAAAUACUUUUUUCAGCUCUGGCUCU